rnacentral:lncRNA from 1 species
UGCGGCUGCUGAUCAAUUUUGUGACAUGAAGGAUGGUGGUGUCACGACCUGGCAGGAACAGACAGUGACCGCAGGAGACGGAAGAGGAGUGGAUCCAGAUGAGGAAAUAACCCACCGGAAAACAGAAGUGCCGAGAGACAUCAGCUGCGCCGUGCUUAUCGCAGCGCUCAUGGCUGGGCUCUCCUCAUCCGCUGCUUUUGUCACACAUCGCUUUGUACCGUUUUCCUGCAGUUUUGUCAGCCAGAAACAUUGCAUACAGGACCAUUGA